GAUGAAGAACGUAGCGAAAUGCGAUAAGUAAUGUGAAUUGCAUAAUUCAGUGAAUCAUCGAAUCUUUGAACGCACAUUGCGCCCGCCAGUAUUCUGGCGGGCAUGCCUGUUCGAGCGUCAUUUCAACCAUCAAGCCCCAGGCUUGUGUUGGGGUCCUGCGGCUGCCGCAGGCCCUGAAAAACAGUGGCGGGCUCGCUGUCACACCGAGCGUAGUAAUACAUCUCGCUUUGGACGUGCGGCGGGUUCUUGCCGUUAAACACCCCCCUUCUCAAGGUUGACCUCGGAUCAGGUAGGAAUACCCGCUGAACUUAAGCAUAUCAAUAAGCGGAGGA
rnacentral:misc_RNA from 1 species